rnacentral:misc_RNA from 1 species
AUUUCCACAAGCGUCAAUUUUGACGCAUGGUUGUUUUAUUUCGGAGCCCGUUUUUGUUAAAGAUUUUCACUACAUGCGUUACCAAAAAAUCGAAUGGUUAUCGGAUAAUGCCAAGACAAUUUUCUCAAGCGCCUCCGAAAAAAAAAUUGAAAGUAAGUCACAAGUAUACAAAAAUGGUGAAGUCAGAAAACGGAACGGGAAGCACGUCUGGAGAACAUAACCCUAGUAUGGAUCAUGGCAAUUGUGGAAAUUCCAAUGAAACAACAAACGAUGUUUUGAUGCAAGAUUUUUCAAACAUCAAAAUCGAGUAUCUCGAAUCACCAAUCAAGUCAGAAAACGAUAAGAAAGAAUACAGAGUUAUCAAAUUACCAAAUGGCCUUACCGCUCUCUUGAUUGCUGAUCCUAGUCCAGUUUCGUGUCAAGAUGAUCCUACCCUUGCUGUUAAGGAUGGAGAAAAUGACCAUGCAAAAGCAGCGAGCGAAGAUGAAGAUGAGAGUGGGAGUGAAGAAAAUGGAGAAAGUGAUGAAGAAGAUGAUGAUGAGGAUGAUGAGGAUGACAGUGAGGAUAAUGAAGACGAUAUGGAUCAGAUCGACAACGAUGCUGGAGAUGAAUCAAGGGCUAAGAAGAUGAAAAGAGAGGAAAAAAUGGCAGCUUGUGGAUUGUGCAUUGGCGUAGGGAGCUUCAGUGAUCCUCCAGAAAUACCUGGAAUGGCUCAUUUUUUGGAGCACAUGGUAUUCAUGGGAUCUAAAAAAUAUCCGCAGGAAAACGACUUUGACGCAUUUAUAAAAAAACAUGGUGGUUCCGACAAUGCGUAUACCGAGUGCGAGCAAACGACGUUUCAUUUUGAGAUACAAGAAAAAUUUCUGCACAGCGCACUCGAUCGUUUUGCUCAAUUUUUCAUAAGUCCCUUGAUGAAACGUGACGCUAUUACUCGAGAACGAGAAGCAGUAGAGAGUGAAUUUCAGAUGGCGUUACCGUCCGAUUUUCACAGGAAAGAACAGCUCUUCAGCAGCUUAGCAAAAACUGGACAUCCCGCGACCAAAUUUGUUUGGGGUAAUUUGAUUACCCUCCGCGAUAAUGUUACGGAUGACAAACUCUAUGAGGAAUUGCACAAAUUUCGUCAACGUCAUUAUAGCGCUCAUCGAAUGACUGUAGCAAUACAGGCGAGAUUACCGCUCGACACACUGGAAAAUUACGUUAAGGAGUGUUUUUCCAACGUACCGAAUAACAAUUUGCCUCCUACAAAUUUUGAUGAAUAUAAGGGCGCCGAAUCAUUUAAGACGUCGCGCUUCCAUCGAAUGUACAAAGUAAAACCCAUCAAAGAUGUUUGCCAGGUCGAAUUAACUUGGACAAUGCCAUCGCUUCUUCAUCUAUACAAGAGCAAACCACAUCAAUACGUCUCUUGGAUUAUCGGUCACGAGGGCAAGGGAUCGUUGAUCAGCUAUCUACGAAAAAAAAUGUGGUGCUUGGAUGUUUUCAGCGGAAAUGGUGAAAGCGGUUUCGAACAUAGCUCCAUGUACGCCCUUUUCAGUCUUACUCUCGUGCUCACCGACGAAGGUCGUAAAAAUUUGAAGGAUGUUCUUGACGCUGUUUAUUCUUACAUCAAUCUUAUGAGACGCGAAGGUCCCCAAAAACGUAUUUACGACGAGAUUCAUAGAAUUGAGGAAACCAAUUUCAGAUUUUCCGAUGAAACACCGCCUGACCAAUACGUCGAGGAUCUCUGCGAAAAUAUGCACUUUUACGCACCGGCUCAUUAUAUAAAUGGUUCCGAAUUGUACUUCGAGUACGAUCCUGUAUCUAUAAAAUCUUGUAUGGACAUCUUAACUCCGGAAAAUGUGAAUAUCAUAAUAUUUGAUAAAAAGUUUAACGAGGAUGAGUUCAGCAAGGUUGAGCCGUGGUUCAAAACGAAAUACGCAGACAUUGAAAUACCCGCUGAUUGGAUAAAAUAUUGGCAAAACGUAGAACCAUUUUCAGGUUUCCAUUUACCGGAACCAAACAUUUUUGUAACUGAUGAUUUCACUCUCAUAUCAAAACCAGAGAAGCCACCAGAAUAUCCUGUCAAAGUUUAUUCAGACUCUCAUUCCGAAGUGUGGUACAAACCUGACACAAAGUUCAGAUUGCCCGAGUGUUAUAUGAAUUUUUUUUAUAUAUCACCGUUGCCAUUGCAGUCACCAGAAAAUUUCGCUAUGCUCGAUCUAUUCGUGGCGAUUCUCAAGCAAUUGUUAACUGAGGAAUUAUAUUCAGCUACAGCAGCUGAGCUGCAUUACACGAUAAUGUCUUGCGAGAUGGGUCUUGUAGUCAAACUGAAUGGAUUCAAUCAAAAAUUACCUCUCCUACUGGAAACGAUAACAAAAUACAUAGCAAAUUUUUCGAACCUCGUUACGGAAGAAUUGUUCGAAGUUAUGAAAGAAGAAGCAUCGAAAGCGUACUACAAUACGUUUUUAAAGCCAGGAAAGCUUAUUAAAGAUGUGAGGAUGUCGAUACUCAUGCUCGUUUAUUGGCCGGCCAUCUACCGGCACGCUGCCAUUUCGGGUAUAACAUUCCAACAAAUGCGCCACUUUGCAGAGCAUUUCACCAAUCACAUAUACACGAAGUGCCUCAUUCAAGGAAACAUGACGGAGGCUGAUGCUAUUGAAAAUGCGCGAAAUUGUAUCAAAAUAUUGAAUUGCGGCGCUCUCUUACCAGGCACCAUGCCCGAGUACAGAAUCAUGCAAAUUCCAAUGGGUACACGAUAUUGCAGGGUCAAAAACUUUAAUUCUACUGAUUCGAAUUCCAACGUUACGAAUUAUUAUCAGUCUGGUGGUACGGCGAUAAAACCCGGUGUUUUAGUGGAGUUAAUUAUGAUGAUAAUGGAAGAGCCACUUUUCAAUCAGCUUCGAACGCAAGAACAGCUUGGUUACAACGUUUUUUGCCUUAUGAGAGAUACAUUUGGCAUUCUUGGUUAUUCUAUCAGCGUUUGUGUUCAAGCGGACAAAUACAGUACGGAACAUGUUGACGAAAGAAUUGAGGAGUUUUUGAAAAACUUCAAAAAAACAUUAGACGAAAUGACGGACCAGGAAUUGCAGACGGUUAAAGAGGCACUUACUAAAACAAAACAGUGCACCGAUGUACAUUUCAAGGAAGAAGUUGACAGACAUUGGACUGAGAUCAAUUCUGGCGAAUAUGUUUUUGACAGAUCAGCGCGAGAAGUUGAAGCGAUUGAACAAAUUACAAUGGACGAUCUGAAACAAUGGAUAACAGAUCACACUAUUGGAGGUUCCAAAUUGCGAAAACUAAGUGUCCAAGUUAUCGGUUGCGAUGGUCGAUCCACAAAAAAAUUGGAAAGCUCCGUGACUCAGGAUAAGAAAAAUGAUGAAUCGAAUUCGGAAACAGACCGCAAUGCUAACACGCAGAAUGAUGGAAAAGUGGAUUAUUCCUUCCAAUAUUUGUGUGAUUUACCGGACGAGAAGUCAAAAAAAUCAGCCGACUCUUACAUAACCAACAUCGAAGAGUUCAAGCGUGAUCUUUACGUUUUUCCCAUUUACAAAUCAACCUCAUGAUAAUACCAAAUCCAACCUAGUCUCCGGUAAUUGCAUUUCAUAGUGACUCUGUACAAUCAUCUAUAUUGCUAUUCGCUCGGCGGGUAAUCUUACGAAGGAGCACACAACACGGAAUUGAAGGAAUUAUAACAGUCUUUGCGGUGGAUAUUUUCACGUUCCUUACGUACACGAGAUUGCGAACCUAACUGAUAUGGAUGAAGAUUUGUAAAAAAAAAUUGUAAAAUUGAGAAAAGAAUAAAUAAAACAAAUAUAAAAAUCUUAA